rnacentral:rRNA from 1 species
AACGAACGCUGGCGGCAUGCCUAACACAUGCAAGUCGAACGAGAUCUUCGGGUCUAGUGGCGCACGGGUGCGUAACGCGUGGGAAUCUGCCCUUUGGUUCGGAAUAACAGUUGGAAACGACUGCUAAUACCGGAUGAUGACGAAAGUCCAAAGAUUUAUCGCCAGAGGAUGAGCCCGCGUAGGAUUAGCUAGUUGGUGUGGUAGAGGCGCACCAAGGCGACGAUCCUUAGCUGGUCUGAGAGGAUGAUCAGCCACACUGGGACUGAGACACGGCCCAGACUCCUACGGGAGGCAGCAGUGGGGAAUAUUGGACAACGGGCGAAAGCCUGAUCCAGCAAUGCCGCGUGAGUGAUGAAGGCCUUAGGGUUGUAAAGCUCUUUUACCCGGGAUGAUAAUGACAGUACCGGGAGAAUAAGCUCCGGCUAACUCCGUGCCAGCCGCCGCGGUAA